GAUGAACGCUGGCGGCGUGCCUAAUACAUGCAAGUCGAGCGAACAAAUGAGGAGCUUGCUCCUCUGACGUUAGCGGCGGACGGGUGAGUAACACGUGGAUAACCUACCUAUAAGACUGGGAUAACUUCGGGAAACCGGAGCUAAUACCGGAUAAUAUAUUGAACCGCAUGGUUCAAUAGUGAAAGACGGUUUUGCUGUCACUUAUAGAUGGAUCCGCGCCGCAUUAGCUAGUUGGUAAGGUAACGGCUUACCAAGGCAACGAUGCGUAGCCGACCUGAGAGGGUGAUCGGCCACACUGGAACUGAGACACGGUCCAGACUCCUACGGGAGGCAGCAGUAGGGAAUCUUCCGCAAUGGGCGAAAGCCUGACGGAGCAACGCCGCGUGAGUGAUGAAGGUCUUCGGAUCGUAAAACUCUGUUAUUAGGGAAGAACAAAUGUGUAAGUAACUAUGCACGUCUUGACGGUACCUAAUCAGAAAGCCACGGCUAACUACGUG
rnacentral:rRNA from 1 species